UUAUAUUAAGAAUGGCUACCAAUGAAUGUUAGAGUUGGGAAAACUUGUGCUUAGCUUUCUACAUAUUUCAGUAUUUCUAUAGUAAAUAUAUAUUUAAUUUGGUAAUAAGAAAAAUACCACUUUCUUAGAAACUGAGGAGAAAAAGAAAAGACACUCUACUAAUACAGUUCAGAAGAAUAAGACUGUAUUUUUUUAAGAAAGUACUGUGCUAAUGAUUUAUUUAUUAAAAAGCUCCUACAUGGUUUUCCAUGUAGGUGUAUAAGAAAUAGUUCUCAUGUUUAAUAUAAUGUGGGACAUUAUAAGCACACAAUAAUUAAAACCAUUAAAUAUAAACUUUAUAACUGAAAGAGAAAAAUGAAUGAUAAAAAUCCAACCUGUUAAAGCUAAGAUGAAAUUUGAUCUUUUUUUUUAAGAUUUUACCUAUUUAUUCAUGAGAGACACAGAAAGAGAAAGGCAGAGACACAGAGAGAGAAGCAGGCUCCAUGCAGGGAGCCCGAUGUGGGACUCAAUUCCGGAUCCCGGGAUCACACCCUGAGCCGAAGACAGACACUCAACCGCUGAGCCACCCAGAUGUCCCAAGUUUGGUAUUUUAGUUUUCACUUCUUCAAAAUUUUCUAAAGAACCGCUGCUUAAAUCCUGGAAAAAAAGACUGACCUCUGAGCAGAGCUCUCCUCAACUGUGGCUUCUAUUAUCUCCAUGAAAUUGCUCACCUGAGCUCAACCUUGGAAACCACAUAAUGAAGAAGGUAGAACUUCAAGAAGGAAGGAAAUUGGACCUCUGAAACAGUGCUUGGAGAAAAACUGUUAAUCAAUGAGGAAACACUUUUUAAACUUCACAUGACUGGAAAAAAAUAACCCUAUGUUGCUUUGAAAUUAUUAUAUGUUCACUAAUUUUUAUGUUGUAGCACCUACCCCUAUAUCUACUAACUAUAAUGGAUAUCUUUACUUGAAUAACCAACCAAUACUUCCAUUCUAACAUACAUAAACCCCAAAUCACCAAUUCCUAAUUUCUUCUGCUCCUCCCAAUGGAUGGCACCAAUAUCCAAGCAAUUAUACAACCAGACAGCAAAGGGACACACUUAUUUCCUUUUUCCUCCCUUCUUUCAUCUAAUUACAAAGUCCCAUCCACUCUAUUUCCCAUAAUGAACCUCUCAACAGCUCUCUACCCUUGACACAAUCCAGCUCUAGGUCUCCAUUACCUGUCAUGCGAAUUACCACCAGCAGCCUUCUAACAGAGAUCUUUUCCUCGAUCCUACUGGUUUACUUGAAUCCUUUCCCAUUGCAAUCAAAACAUAAUUCUGCAGAUAAAAAUCUAAUCUGAUCAUAUUUCUAUAUUCUGACAACUCCUCUGUGUGGCCUUCAGAAUGCACUGCAAAGAUCUCCAGCUAUAAGGACUGUAAUUGACUACAUACCUCAAAUUGCUGUUUUCUGACAUGUGAUGUUUUCCAAGGCCACAUAUCCCAUAGGCAGAGUUCCUAACCAGUGACUGAACGUAGCCAGAAGAGUAAGUCAGGUACAUUUCUGGCAACAUACGGCUCACCUGUGACAACAUACUUUGACCUAAGGACUUGUCAGUGGCCUUACCAAACCUUCCAUGGGUUGCAUGAUAGGAAAGGACACUUCCAUUCAAUUUUCUAUUUUUCUCUUUCAUUUGGGGUCAGACUUGCAACACAAUCUGAGGGCUCUCAUGACCUUUCCCAGUUUCCUCCUCAUUUUCUCUCACACAGUCAUUUCCCCUAAUAAUAUCCUUGCAUAUUUGAUCCUGUCUUGGCACCUGUUAAAAAACAGGUAAAGGACCCAAACUAACACACCCUCAUUACUACCCAACUUCUUAAAGCCUAAGUUCAAAUUCCUCACUAUGGCCCAAGGUGCCCUUUGUCAUCAACCUCCCACAAACUUUUUCAUUUCUUUUAACUUUCAUUACUCCUAUUCUUGACUCCAUCAACGCUGAUUUAUUCACAUUAUUUACUCAUGCUAUGAUCUCUUAACUCCUAGGUCUGUGCACAUACUACUGCUUUUUCCUAAAACAUUUCUAGUCCCCAAACACAGGGCUAAUCCUUCAAGAUUAGGCUUCCCUUCUUUAAGAAAGUCUGAGACUCUCUAGGACUGAAUUAGGUACUCUUCCUCAUUUGUAUCACACCAUGCUCUUUAACAUUAACUGCACUCUACUAUAAUUGUUGCAUUAUUUGUAUGACUCCCACUAACUAUAAAUCUGUUGAGGCAGGAAAUGUGUCUGGUUUACCACUGCAUGUACCCUCAGGGCCUAGCAGAGUGCUUAGCAUACAACACGUACUUGGUAAGUAUUUGCUGAUAAAUUGGAAAUGUAAAGAAAGUAAGAAAUGGUACUCAAAUAUCCUUGAUUCACAAUUACAAACAUACAAGUAAAAGCCACUCAUUAUUUAAGUCUAUACUUUGUUAAAUGGAUUCACUUCCUAACCUAUAUUAAAACAAAGAUGGGUAUACCUAGCAUCCAUAAGGUGAUUUACUGUUAUAAGCGAUAAUGGAUUUGUAUUAUUAAAAUAAAUAGCUUUUAAUUAACUUAUUGAGCUUUGAAAAGUAUCACAUUAUAACGGAAAAAGAGACAAGUGAGUCUUUUCAGAAGAUUCAGAAAAUCUUUCAGGAGAAUCUGAAAAGAUUCAGUUGUCUCCCUGUCACAUUUUUACUUCAUUAAACCAAUGAAAUAAUCAAGUGAGUUAAGAAAAAGCAGAACCCCUCUAAUUUUUCUAAAA